AUGAUUUCUUCUGUCGAGGUAAAUACCGAACUUCAGGCGGGUGACGAAGAAAAUAGAAGCUAGACAAAAGUAGAAGAAAAGUAGCCGAAGACGGACCUUCAACCAAAGUCGGCUGUAAACGGCAAAUUCCCCUGUGUUGCCCAAGAAUCCAACAUCCUCAAGCAAACGCUCAUGGAAACAUCUUCUGGUUUUCUUCAUCCACUGCUGGCAAUGAACCACUGCCUGUGAGUCUACCUGUCUGCCCUCCAAUGCAAGCCAAGACCUUCUGUCAGCUCUGAGCUCCCUCUUUAGGACCAACCUAACCCCAGUCCCUACAGUAAUUUCUCCCCUGGUGAAUUCUUCUCCAUCAAUCCAUGUCCCUGCAAGCCUGGUUCACUGACCGAUAGUCAAGAACCCCUCUUUCUGUCAUUUUUCUUACUUGUAAAAUAGAUCACCUUUAUCUGAUUUCCAAGUUUCCCUGGUGUGUUCUGUAUGAGGCAUCUUGCCUCCAACAUGACAGGUUAUUUCUAUAAUGGGAUUUCUGCAAACUUCCCUCCAGUUAGUAGGUAUUGUUUCUCACAAAUGACUCAUCCUCAUCAUGGGUAACGCAUUCUUGAAUGGUUCUUGAGUUACUGGCAGCUUGGAUGUUAAAGAAUGAGUGUAAAAGUAUUCAGCUGAAUAAUAGGAAGCCCUUUUCAAGAAACCAGAUGCAUGGGUGCAACAUUUCCUGUCCCUUGCAAAAUAUUUGCAUUCAAAUAACACCAGUUGCUUGCUGUGCUGGACAGAAGACACAAUCCAACUUUGUGUCUCAGUCAAAGCUUCGAUGCAAUCAUUGGUGUGAUGCCCCAUGUGCUAUUUUCCUUACUGGAAAAUUCCAUAGCACUACCUUGUGACGGCAUUCCCCAUUUCUUCCCUACUUCCUGUAAGAAAAAAAAGAACCUUUAUUCAAAAGGCUGGUUGGGAGGAAGACCUACAAAGCACAGGAUCCACGGUCUUGCAGAAGUGUCCCUGCCCUUGGGACUUUUUGUUUUUUUGUAUUUUGAGAUGGGAGGCAGUCUGUUUUUCAAAAGACUUGGGGGAUGGUGGUAAAGAAAAAAAAAUCAUGUUACAACCUUGCUGUAGGGA